CCUGGGUCGCAAGCCUGUGUGUCCUCGCCAGCUCGCUUCAUGUUUAAUCUCGUCGUCGUCCCACGUGUCAUCAAGAAAUUCCAAGAGUCAAGUGAAGACGGAGCCAGCAACGUGAUAUUCAUCAGAUGCGCGACAAAAAGCUCGGACAUCCUGCGCGACUCAAGUUCAAUUCGUCAAAAUUAUUCAAUCGGGGAAAGAUCUUCAGCAAUUGAUUACCGAAGAAAAGAACCCUGGAUGACGUUAAUCGGAACCCGUAGUCGUGCUUGCGACUAUCGCGUCUAAUUAGUCAGGGUAAGCAAAUUUGUUAUUCGUAUUAGCGGAUUGAUGGAUGGUUUGACUAGGUAAAAUAUUUAUUAGAUUGUCUGAGUCGCUUUGGUAAAUUGGUCGAUGCCGUAGGAUAAAAGAGGUCUCAAUAGGUCUCAGUAUUGCGGAACUGUAGGUACUAAAAAUGAAGUGUUAUUAAUAUAUAUGAUACACAGGUUAACCGGUAAAUUAGUUUAAAAAGUUAAUGAAAAUUCUUCUAUCAAAUUUUAUAAGUAUUAGGUGCCCAAGAAUUUUGAAGUUAAAAUUAUAAGCCGUUUAGUGUGUUCUCUAGACUAGGUAUGUUAUUUUAUGUGUUGAUCGAGUUCAUGCUUAGAAUGGAUGUUGAUUGCUACCUCGACUGUUUAGCUAGGUUAGAAGAGCAUGAUUAUCGUAGGUAACAAUAUAUCGAUAGCUAGUGUCCGCAAUGUCUCGUCAUUAGGUAGGUUAUUUCUCUUUGGCGUAGUAUCGUAAUGUCUGGUGUUAUUGUUCCUUAUAUGCAUUCAUGUGCAUAAUGCAUCUCAAUUAGGUACGUUAAUUGAUCGCGCGAUGCGGAAGACGACCCAAGUCGACCCCAAGCGCGGGCUAAUCUGCAAGCUGAAGCUGAUGAAUCAACCUAAAGAUGGUUAAAUCAACAAGUGCUCGGUCGAAGAAUACUCGUCAAGCGGAC
rnacentral:lncRNA from 1 species